AACCACUCCCCCCACCCCUCUCCUCACCCCCACUCAGCUCCUCUUACUCUCCUGGAGGGGCAGGCAGGGCUCACUGAGGACCCGCUCUCCCUCCAAGCUCCCGCUGUACCUCCCAUUCAGCACUUUCAAUGGGGACCAAGGGAGAGAAUGAGAGUCAGGGGCUGGUUUCAGCCAGCGAGCAGCAGGCAGAGAGAGAAAAACUGGCAAAGAAGUUUGCUUGUGCUGGGUCCCAGCUUUGUCAGCCAGCUGGGCCAGAUGCCACCGUGGAGGCAUCUGUCUCCACACAUCCUGUUUCUGGGGAUUGAUUCGCACAGCUGUCUCUUAGAUGGAAAGGAGGUGGCUGCCAACAUGACCCAGAGCAUCCUUCCAGCCCUACUUUAGGCAGGAUAGCUGAGUGGGAAGAUCCUGGGUUUUCAGUUGGGCAGGGAUUUCAAUCAGAUUCUGACACUCCCUAGAGGUGUCACCUUGGGUAAAUUGCCCAUAGUGCCAGAGAUGUAUAAUAGCGGUAAGAAUGUUUGGUUCAAAUCCCAGUUCUCCUUCCUAGCUGUGUGGCCUCAGACAACUUACCUGAUAUCUCUGAAUCUCAGUUCUCUGAAUCUCUGAAAUGGGGAUCCUACCUGUACUUAUUCUCGUAGGAUUGUUGGGAAGAUUGAGUGACUUAAUGCACAUUCAAGAGUUUAGAACAGUGCCUGGCACCAAGUGUAGUCUCUGACUGUUAUAACCUUCUCUGAGCCUGUAAAAUGGGGUAACCUCACCUACUUCUGGGGUCAUUCUGAAGGACCAAAGAGCUAAUGGAAGUGAAGCACCUAGUCAUAUGCCUGGCACACAAGAGAUGCUCAAAAAUGGCAAUCUUAAUGGAAGUAGGAUUAUAUAGUAUGAGUCCUUAGUCUGAGAACUACCUUGCGUAAUACACUUUAUGUCUCUGAGGCUCAACUUGGACACCUGUAAAAUGGGGGCACCAACCGGAUGUCCUGCAAGUUUGACUUAAUUCUGACACUGUCUACCUGAAGAUAACAUCAGACCCCACAGGGAAAUUCUAAGGCUUUUAGGAGCUCUGUGCUAAGAAUGGAGAAGACUAAAUAUCUCUGGAGCUGACAGGUAUAGAUUGCUUUAAGCCAGCACCCAGGAAGAUCAUCCAACUGGAAAAGCAGUCAUCAGAGAACAGAGAAGCCUGAGCUCUUCAAAGAAGUCUAAGGUCAUGGAACCAAACAAGCUUCCUAUAUUCACACCUUUUCAAUUCAAAUAUCUCUUCUCUGACCUGCACCACAAGUUCUCCCUUCACACUCGCUUUUCAUAUCCGAUAAUUCUGAAAAUGACAUGUAUCUCUCCUGUAAGCCUUUAAGUUCCAAGAGAUAAGAGGCUGCAUCUGUCUUGUUCGUCAGCAUGUAUGGGGCCUUGCUUUGCAUGGUGGUUGCAUGCGCGUGCUUUUUUUGUGUUAAUUCAUUGAGCUCUUGGUGCAAUGCCAGUGCCCAGUAAAUAUUCAUUGAAUGCAUGAAUGAAUCACAGAGUCUUCGGUAGUUAUCCAGGCCAUUCACCCACUACAUUCCUGAAUCCUUGCCUCAAAAUUCCUACCAAGUGUCUGCUAUUAUUUGCCAACAAAACAGCUCUAGUGACAAGGAGCUCUCUACUGCCCAAGGCUGCCUGUUUAUUUUUUGUGUAGUUCUGUUGGCUAGAAAGUUCUUCUUAAUAUGGAGCUGAAAUAUAUCUCCUUGAGGCUUCCAGUCAGUUUCUUGUUCUAUCCUUAUGAUCACAUAAAUCAAGCCUACGCCCUCUUUGUGACGACAACCUUUUAGACAUUUGAAGUUAGUUCUCACACCCACCUCUUCUCCAAGCUAAUCACAAAAUCAUUGAUGAGACGCAUAUUUGUUGAGUACCUACGAAAGGAAUAGGCUAGAGAACACAAAGAUGAAAAGAUAUAAUACCUGUCCUGAGGUCUCCAGUCUUGGGGAGCCAGAGAAAUUUAAGAGAGAAUGUGAUAAGUGCUAGGGAUGGUGGAGACACAGGGGAAAGAGAGCCCAAGCCCACUCAAGGAGACCCUUGAGGAAGCCUCCACAGAGGAGUGGGCUAUAGAAUAUGCUCCAAGCAGGCCAGGGAGGAGAGGAUGUUCCAAGAGGAAGGGAGAGCAUACACAAAAAUCUGGCAAUAUAAGAGUCCAUGGCAUGGAAAGAGAACUUUCAGUAGUUCCAUAUGGCUAGGAAGACCGCAAGUCCCAGCUUGCUCAGAACAGUCCAGUUUGUGCCUGUUGUCCCAGAAAACGUUUAGUAUGUCCUCAGUCUCAAAAGUGGCCUAGAUUGGAUAAUAAAUUAUAUGGUCAUUCUAAGUAUGCCUGGGACAUACAGUCUAAGGGUGAAGUGGAAAUGGGGGAAAUGAAGGCAGAGGGAGGCAGAUGCUGAUCACAGGGGCCUUGUGGGCCAAGUUUACAAAAACAUUCAGUUAACUGGAUUUUGUAUGGUGUCUUCCCUUUGAAGUCAUCUUCUCCAUGUAUAAUCUAACUCAUAGAUAGAUAAGUACAUCUAUUGAAGAUGAUGGUUGCUACUGGUUACCAUUUAUGGAAGACUUACCAGGUAAGCACUUCCCGCAUAGCCUGGGGUGCGGUGAGCUGCCCCUCUGCUGACCCUGGUUCAGGUAUGUCCUGUAACUGCUUGUCUACCAUUGGGUCUUGAUUUUGACUUGUUUUUAUGAUUGUAAGAUUGUGUCCUGAGUCAACAUUAGGCAAUCCCCUCAGGGCCUUCUGUUUCCAACUAGAAACUUUGUAAGGCUUUCCUGGAGGGGGAUAGCUAGGGUCAGGAGUAGGCUUAUUAUCUACAAGCAAUUUGUUUUAAAGGACUGGCAUGAUUUGUAUAUUGGAGGGACUUGAAGAAUAUUCGAAUGAAUGAGUUUAUUUGGCUCUCAGAUGAUGCAAUAACCAAGUAAUGUGGAGUUAGAUAUUUGAACAGGCAGCCAGGGGAAAUGGUUUAAAUGUAAGAAAUACUUGAAUUACAUGGAAAGUGGAUAGUAAGAAUGGGCAUUUGAGAUUUUAUUUAUUUAUUUUUUUCCUUUUUCUCCCAAAGCCCCCUGGUACAUAGUUGUGUAUAUUUUUUUAGUUGUGGGUCCUUUUAGUUGUGGCAUAUGGCACGUGGUCUCAGCAUGGCUCGAUGAGCGGUGCCAUGUCUGCGCCCAGGAUUCGAACUGGCAAAACCCUGAGCCAUUGAAGUGGAGCGUGCGAACUUAACCACUCAGCCACGGGGCUGGCCCCAAGAAUGGGCAUUUGAAAUAUGUCUGAGUGAAUGAUUUUGUCCGUAGUGCCCCCUGCGACAUCUGUCCCUCAGUGGCAAGUGUUGGUUUGUACCCCAAACUGAAUGUAGCCGUCCGCUAGAGCAGUUCUGCAACGGCUAGCUUCAGGCUGCUUUUGCCCACCAGGAAGCCAGGUGAUAGUGGACCUCAGGGCUUCUAGAGGCUCCCCCAUCCCAGCCACACUUGGAUGCUGCAAGGAAAUAUGAGUCUACUAGGAACGGUCAUGUCAACCCACCCUUCUCAUUUGUCCUUUGUCAACCUAUUAAUGUUUGGGGCUAGUUUGUGGAUCUAGGUAUAUAAAUUUGCCAGGGCUGCUGAAACAAGGUACCACAAACUGCGUAGGUUGAACAACAGAAAUUUAUUGUCUCACAGUUCUGGAGACUAGAAGUCUGAAAUGAAGGUGUCGACAGGACUGGUUCCCAGCUAGAAACUUUGUAAGGCUUCCCAGGAGGAGGCUAGCUGGGGUCAGGAGUAGAUCCAUUAGCUAUAAACAACUUGCUUUAAAGGACUGGCAUGAUCUGCGUAUUGGAGGGACUUGUAAGGAGCCCUUCUGAGAGCUGUGAGGGAGAAUCUGUUCCACGCCUCUCCCUGAGACUGGUGGUUUCCUGGCAAUAUUUGUUGUUCUUUGGCUUUUAAAAGUAUCACCUGAUCUUUGCCUUCAUCUUCACCUGGCAUUCUCCCUAUGCACGUCUGUGUCCAAAUUUUAUCUUUUUAUAAGGACACAGUUAAAUUGGAUUAGGGACCUACCCUACUCCAGAAUGGCCUCAUCUUAACUAAUUACAUCUUUAGUGACCCCAUUUCCAAGCAAAGUCACAUUCUGAUACUAGGGGUUAGCACUUCAACAUAGGACUUAUUGGAGGACACAAUUCCACCCCUAAGACUGGGGUAGACAGAAACAGUGACAGCAUAGAUGCAUUACUAUUGAUUACGACUGCAACCAACUCUACUUUUUGGGAAACCAUCAACUCAGAAAGAAUCCCAUGGCUAGGGGAGACAUACCUCGAUCCUGCUGUAACAAGUCAAAGGUAUAGCCCGUAGAUGUGGGUCAGUUUGCCUUGAGCUUUGCAUGUGACUUCUCCCCAGAGGCUCCUUACUUGAGGGCACACACGGGACCCUGCUCACCAGGGUACAGAGUAGCCUGUGGCUCUGGAAACCUUGUUUUAAUCUGUUACCUGAUUUUCCAAGAGUUCAUCUUCAAUCUUAUGCCAUUAUUCUACCCUAGAACCAACUAUCUUCGUUCUCUCUGAGAUGAAUGCAAAAACCUUGUAACCAGUCUGCCCAUUUGGUUCUUCUCCAGCCGUUCUCCACACUAUGCAGAGGGAUUGUUUUAAAACACAAAUGUGAUACAGUCAGCAACUUGAUGGAAACGACCUCAAUGGCUGCUUGCUGCUCUCGAGAUAAAGAUCAACACGCUAUGUCCUACAAGGCCCUGAGGUCUCCAACAGGAGGCUUACCAUCUUCAUCUAGUCCUUAGUUGCAUUUUUUAAAAAAUAAAAUUGAACUGGCAAUGCUCUGUUUCUUGAUCUGGGUGCUGAACACUGGUACUUACCCUGUGAAUAUUCAUCAAGCUCUACUGUUUGAUUUGUGGGCUUGUCUGUAUGUACGGUAUAUUUCAAUUAAAAAACAAAACCUCAAAACAAUUGAAUGAGUUGCUUAAAGUUCUG
ensembl:lncRNA